rnacentral:rRNA from 1 species
CCUCAUUACACAAAUAUGAAGGCGGGCUGGAACCUCUCGGGGUUACAGCCUUGCUGAAUUAUUCACCCUUGUCUUUUGCGUACUUCUUGUUUCCUUGGUGGGUUCGCCCACCACUAGGACAAACAUAAACCUUUUGUAAUUGCAAUCAGCGUCAGUAACAAAUUAAUAAUUACAACUUUCAACAACGGAUCUCUUGGUUCUGGCAUCGAUGAAGAACGCAGCGAAAUGCGAUAAGUAGUGUGAAUUGCAGAAUUCAGUGAAUCAUCGAAUCUUUGAACGCACAUUGCGCCCUUUGGUAUUCCAAAGGGCAUGCCUGUUCGAGCGUCAUUUGUACCCUCAAGCUUUGCUUGGUGUUGGGCGUCUUGUCUCUAGCUUUGCUGGAGACUCGCCUUAAAGUAAUUGGCAGCCGGCCUACUGGUUUCGGAGCGCAGCACAAGUCGCACUCUCUAUCAGCAAAGGUCUAGCAUCCAUUAAGCCUUUUUUUCAACUUUUGACCUCGGAUCAGGUAGGGAUACCCGCUGAACUUAAGCAUAUCAAUAAGCCGGAGGAACCAAA